GUACUCGCUACAGUGGUACAUAUACUAAAAUUGGAACGAUACAGAGAAGAUUAGCGCAAGGAUGCUCAAGAGCACCUCAAAAAAACUACAGACCUUC
rnacentral:snRNA from 1 species